UGACUGCGUACCUUUUGUAUAAUGGGUCAGCGACUUAUAUUCUGUAGCAAGGUUAACCGAAUAGGGGAGCCGGAGGGAAACCGAGUCUUAAUUGGGCGUUAAGUUGCAGGGUAUAGACCCGAAACCCGGUGAUCUAGCCAUGGGCAGGUUGAAGGUUGGGUAACACUAACUGGAGGACCGAACCGACUAAUGUUGAAAAAUUAGCGGAUGACCUGUGGCUGGGGGUGAAAGGCCAAUCAAACCGGGAGAUAGCUGGUUCUCCCCGAAAGCUAUUUAGGUAGCGCCUCGUGAAUUCAUCUCCGGGGGUAGAGCACUGUUUCGGCUAGGGGGCCAUCCCGGCUUACCAACCCGAUGCAAACUGCGAAUACCGGAGAAUGUUAUCACGGGAGACACACGGCGGGUGCUAACGUCCGUCGUGAAGAGGGAAACAACCCAGACCGCCAGCUAAGGUCCCAAAGUCAUGGUUAAGUGGGAAACGAUGUGGGAAGGCCCAGACAGCCAGGAUGUUGGCUUAGAAGCAGCCAUCAUUUAAAGAAAGCGUAAUAGCUCACUGGUCGAGUCGGCCUGCGCGGAAGAUGUAACGGGGCUAAACCAUGCACCGAAGCUGCGGCAGCGACACUCAGGUGUUGUUGGGUAGGGGAGCGUUCUGUAAGCCUGUGAAGGUGGCCUGUGAGGGUUGCUGGAGGUAUCAGAAGUGCGAAUGCUGACAUAAGUAACGAUAAAGCGGGUGAAAAGCCCGCUCGCCGGAAGACCAAGGGUUCCUGUCCAACGUUAAUCGGGGCAGGGUGAGUCGACCCCUAAGGCGAGGCCGAAAGGCGUAGUCGAUGGGAAACGGGUUAAUAUUCCCGUACUUGGUGUUACUGCGAAGGGGGGACGGAGAAGGCUAUGUUGGCCGGGCGACGGUUGUCCCGGUUUAAGCGUGUAGGUGUGUGUUCCAGGUAAAUCCGGUUCACUUUAACACUGAGGCGUGACGACGAGGCACUACGGUGCUGAAGCAACAAAUGCCCUGCUUCCAGGAAAAGCCUCUAAGCAUCAGGUAACAUCAAAUCGUACCCCAAACCGACACAGGUGGUCAGGUAGAGAAUACCAAGGCGCUUGAGAGAACUCGGGUGAAGGAACUAGGCAAAAUGGUGCCGUAACUUCGGGAGAAGGCACGCUGACACGUAGGUGAAGUGAUUUACUCAUGGAGCUGAAGUCAGUCGAAGAUACCAGCUGGCUGCAACUGUUUAUUAAAAACACAGCACUGUGCAAACACGAAAGUGGACGUAUACGGUGUGACGCCUGCCCGGUGCCGGAAGGUUAAUUGAUGGGGUCAGCGCAAGCGAAGCUCCUGAUCGAAGCCCCGGUAAACGGCGGCCGUAACUAUAACGGUCCUAAGGUAGCGAAAUUCCUUGUCGGGUAAGUUCCGACCUGCACGAAUGGCGUAAUGAUGGCCAGGCUGUCUCCACCCGAGACUCAGUGAAAUUGAACUCGCUGUGAAGAUGCAGUGUACCCGCGGCAAGACGGAAAGACCCCGUGAACCUUUACUAUAGCUUGACACUGAACAUUGAGCCUUGAUGUGUAGGAUAGGUGGGAGGCUUUGAAGUGUGGACGCCAGUCUGCAUGGAGCCGGCCUUGAAAUACCACCCUUUAAUGUUUGAUGUUCUAACGUGGACCCGUGAUCCGGGUUGCGGACAGUGUCUGGUGGGUAGUUUGACUGGGGCGGUCUCCUCCUAAAGAGUAACGGAGGAGCACGAAGGUUGGCUAAUCCUGGUCGGACAUCAGGAGGUUAGUGCAAUGGCAUAAGCCAGCUUGACUGCGAGCGUGACGGCGCGAGCAGGUGCGAAAGCAGGUCAUAGUGAUCCGGUGGUUCUGAAUGGAAGGGCCAUCGCUCAACGGAUAAAAGGUACUCCGGGGAUAACAGGCUGAUACCGCCCAAGAGUUCAUAUCGACGGCGGUGUUUGGCACCUCGAUGUCGGCUCAUCACAUCCUGGGGCUGAAGUAGGUCCCAAGGGUAUGGCUGUUCGCCAUUUAAAGUGGUACGCGAGCUGGGUUUAGAACGUCGUGAGACAGUUCGGUCCCUAUCUGCCGUGGGCGCUGGAGAACUGAGGGGGGCUGCUCCUAGUACGAGAGGACCGGAGUGGACGCAUCACUGGUGUUCGGGUUGUCAUGCCAAUGGCACUGCCCGGUAGCUAAAUGCGGAAGAGAUAAGUGCUGAAAGCAUCUAAGCACGAAACUUGCCCCGAGAUGAGUUCU
rnacentral:rRNA from 1 species